GGGGAACUGAAACAUCUAAGUACCCCGAGGAAAAGAAAUCAACCGAGAUUCCCCCAGUAGCGGCGAGCGAACGGGGAGCAGCCCAGAGUCUGAAUCAGCUUGUGUGUUAGUGGAACGGUCUGGAAAGUCCGACGGUACAGGGUGAUAGUCCCGUACACCAAAAUGCACAGGCUGUGAACUCGAAGAGUAGGGCGGGACACGUGGUAUCCUGUCUGAAUAUGGGGGGACCAUCCUCCAAGGCUAAAUACUCCUGACUGACCGAUAGUGAACCAGUACCGUGAGGGAAAGGCGAAAAGAACCCCGGCGAGGGGAGUGAAAAAGAACCUGAAACCGUGUACGUACAAGCAGUGGGAGCACCUUCGGGUGUGACUGCGUACCUUUUGUAUAAUGGGUCAGCGACUUAUAUUCUGUAGCAAGGUUAACCGUAUAGGGGAGCCGCAGGGAAACCGAGUCUUAACUGGGCGUUAAGUUGCAGGGUAUAGACCCGAAACCCGGUGAUCUAGCCAUGGGCAGGUUGAAGGUUGGGUAACACUAACUGGAGGACCGAACCGACUAAUGUUGAAAAAUUAGCGGAUGACUUGUGGCUGGGGGUGAAAGGCCAAUCAAACCGGGAGAUAGCUGGUUCUCCCCGAAAGCUAUUUAGGUAGCGCCUCGUGAACUCAUCUUCGGGGGUAGAGCACUGUUUCGGCUAGGGGGUCAUCCCGACUUACCAACCCGAUGCAAACUACGAAUACCGAAGAAUGUUAUCACGGGAGACACACGGCGGGUGCUAACGUCCGUCGUGAAGAGGGAAACAACCCAGACCGCCAGCUAAGGUCCCAAAGUCAUGGUUAAGUGGGAAACGAUGUGGGAAGGCACAGACAGCCAGGAUGUUGGCUUAGAAGCAGCCAUCAUUUAAAGAAAGCGUAAUAGCUCACUGGUCGAGUCGGCCUGCGCGGAAGAUGUAACGGGGCUAAACCAUGCACCGAAGCUGCGGCAGCGACACUAUGUGUUGUUGGGUAGGGGAGCGUUCUGUAAGCCUGCGAAGGUGUGCUGUGAGGCAUGCUGGAGGUAUCAGAAGUGCGAAUGCUGACAUAAGUAACGAUAAAGCGGGUGAAAAGCCCGCUCGCCGGAAGACCAAGGGUUCCUGUCCAACGUUAAUCGGGGCAGGGUGAGUCGACCCCUAAGGCGAGGCCGAAAGGCGUAGUCGAUGGGAAACAGGUUAAUAUUCCUGUACUUGGUGUUACUGCGAAGGGGGGACGGAGAAGGCUAUGUUAGCCGGGCGACGGUUGUCCCGGUUUAAGCAUGUAGGCUGAUUGUCCAGGCAAAUCCGGAUAAUCAAGGCUGAGGUGUGAUGACGAGGCACUACGGUGCUGAAGUAACAAAUGCCCUGCUUCCAGGAAAAGCCUCUAAGCAUCAGGUAACAUUAAAUCGUACCCCAAACCGACACAGGUGGUCAGGUAGAGAAUACCAAGGCGCUUGAGAGAACUCGGGUGAAGGAACUAGGCAAAAUGGUGCCGUAACUUCGGGAGAAGGCACGCUGGUGUGUAGGUGAAGUCCCUGCGGAUGGAGCUGAGACCAGUCGAAGAUACCAGCUGGCUGCAACUGUUUAUUAAAAACACAGCACUGUGCAAACACGAAAGUGGACGUAUACGGUGUGACGCCUGCCCGGUGCCGGAAGGUUAAUUGAUGGGGUUAUCCGUAAGGAGAAGCUCUUGAUCGAAGCCCCGGUAAACGGCGGCCGUAACUAUAACGGUCCUAAGGUAGCGAAAUUCCUUGUCGGGUAAGUUCCGACCUGCACGAAUGGCGUAAUGAUGGCCAGGCUGUCUCCACCCGAGACUCAGUGAAAUUGAACUCGCUGUGAAGAUGCAGUGUACCCGCGGCAAGACGGAAAGACCCCGUGAACCUUUACUAUAGCUUGACACUGAACAUUGAGCCUUGAUGUGUAGGAUAGGUGGGAGGCUUUGAAGCGUGGACGCCAGUCUGCGUGGAGCCAACCUUGAAAUACCACCCUUUAAUGUUUGAUGUUCUAACGUUGGCCCCUGACCGGGGUUGCGGACAGUGUCUGGUGGGUAGUUUGACUGGGGCGGUCUCCUCCCAAAGCGUAACGGAGGAGCACGAAGGUUAGCUAAUCCUGGUCGGACAUCAGGAGGUUAGUGCAAUGGCAUAAGCUAGCUUGACUGCGAGCGUGACGGCGCGAGCAGGUGCGAAAGCAGGUCAUAGUGAUCCGGUGGUUCUGAAUGGAAGGGCCAUCGCUCAACGGAUAAAAGGUACUCCGGGGAUAACAGGCUGAUACCGCCCAAGAGUUCAUAUCGACGGCGGUGUUUGGCACCUCGAUGUCGGCUCAUCACAUCCUGGGGCUGAAGUAGGUCCCAAGGGUAUGGCUGUUCGCCAUUUAAAGUGGUACGCGAGCUGGGUUUAGAACGUCGUGAGACAGUUCGGUCCCUAUCUGCCGUGGGCGCUGGAGAAUUGAGGGGGGCUGCUCCUAGUACGAGAGGACCGGAGUGGACGCAUCACUGGUGUUCGGGUUGUCAUGCCAAUGGCACUGCCCGGUAGCUAAAUGCGGAAGAGAUAAGUGCUGAAAGCAUCUAAGCACGAAACUUGCCCCGAGAUGAGUUCUCCCUGAGACUUUAAGUCUCCUGAAGGAACGUUGAAGACGACGACGUUGAUAGGCCGGGUGUGUAAGCGCAGCGAUGCGUUGAGCUAACCGGUACUAAUGAACCGUGAGGCUUAACCUU
rnacentral:rRNA from 1 species